rnacentral:misc_RNA from 1 species
ACUGAUAUAAACAACACUGACUGCCUGAUGUUGGCAUGUGAAGGAGGUAACAUAUCUAUUGUGAAACACAUUCUGUCAAUGAAAACAUUUGCCAGCAACAGACGAAGAGGAUGGCCUAACCAAACACGAACCAUGACAGCAUUUAAAGAGGAAAAUAUACUAAGUUCCAAAAGAAACGCGACAUUCAUGUUUGUUUUGAAAUUUCCAUAAUUGUCUUAUCUACUUCACAAUCAUAACGAAUGUGCAUGUUAAAUGUUCUUUGAAACCAAUUUUCGAAAUUAAACUUCUGAAACAAGACGUUUAACGUUAGAUUAGACGUAACAACUGAAUCUAAUUAUUGAACAUUUUUAUGGAAAAAAACAACAGAAACGCAUCACAUAAACGCAUGCCCCGGCGCGUUGUGCACGUGAAUUUAAUGAUACGACGCUUUCUUCAAGAUAAACGAGAGAAAGAACCCUUUAAAAGAUGCGACGGCAGUUUCUGUUGUGUUCUUUUCUGAAUGGUUCAGAGAACAAUAUGCCACGUCUAAGCAAUGAAGCAAGCACGUCUACGUGCUCUUGGGAUGAUUGAUGCUGGUUCCAUCGUUGCAACGUUGCACAACAUAUGGGAGUACAUCGGACGACAAUUUACCGACAGAUUGAACGCCAAAAUCAAACGAAUUCGGUGAGAGAUCGACCUAGAGAUGGCAGGCCACGAGUGACGUCACACAGGCAAGACCGUUACAUCGUAACGUCACAUCUUCGCAACCGUUUUCUUCCAGCUACUGUUACAGCCCGUCAGACAAUUGGGAUUCACAACAGACCAAUUUCAGGAAACACUGUGCUUCGACGUUUGAUAGCACACCGGCUGCACUGUAGGAGACCCUGUGUUGGACCGAUUUUGACGCCACGGCACCGUCGUCUGCGCUUAGCAUGGGCUCGCCAACAUCAGCAUUGGAGAUAUGCACAGUGGCAGAACGUUGUUUUCUCAGACGAGAGUCGUUUUUGUGUCCACGUUGCAGAUGGGAGAGUGAGAGUAUGGCGUCGACGAAAUGAACGUUUCAGAGACCCACGUGUUCUGGAAAGUGACCGCUGGGGUGGGCCAUCCCUUAUGAUGUGGGGUGGAAUAAGCUGGGGAAAGCAUGUACCACCUGUAAUCUUCCAAACCAACGGUCAAGGUCGUGGAAGGGGUGUAACUGCACGACGCUACAUUGACGAAGUUUUAAGGCCUGUUGUCGUCCUGCUCUUUAGACCCAGACCACAGUUGCAGCUCCAACAUGGUAAUGCCCGCGCGCACCCGCCAUUAUCAUAGGACAAUUCUUGUCCAAUCACCACAUCCAGACAAUGGUUUGGCCACCUCUUAGUCAAGAUUUGAAUCCAGUGGAACAUCUCUGGGACGAGUUGGACCGACGCCUUCGUCAAAGACCAGUUCCUCCACAAAGUCGGCGGCAGUUGUAGAAUGCAGUGUUGAAUGAAUACAAUAGCAUUCCCCGUGCUUUCAUUCGACGUUUGUUCAUGUCCAUGGGAAGACGGUGUACUCAUGUGAUCAACAAUAAUGGUGGUCAUACCAGGUACUGAUGACAUCGAAUAUCAGCUUAAGCUUCUAAACGUGUCUAAUGCAGACUCUUCAGGUUGGACACAAUAGAAACUUCAUCAGAUCUUAAAUCCACUGUCGUUGCUGUUGUCUUUUAGCUUUCUUUGGAGCGUUCUGUGUAAAGCAUAUAGUGGCAGGAAGCAUGAAUGUGGGAUAACAGUUCUUAUUUCAAAUGGACUUGUCGCGUUUCCUUUGGAACUAAGUAUAUUAAUAUGUUUAUCAUCUCCUAGUAUCUGAUGGUGCCGAUCUGACCCACACUAAAAAUAGAACAAUGACUGUCUGAUGGUGGCAUGUGAAGAAGGUAACAUAUUGUGAAACACAUUCUAUCCAUGAAAACAUGUGACAUCAACAGACGGGGACGUGUAUCAAAACAAACAAACUACCAAACACCGAUUAUGAAGGCAUUAGAAAGAAAACACUAUGACGUUUAUCAUCGCCUUGUGUCUGAGGGCGCAGGUGUAAAGGUGUAUAUAGCUGUGUACUGCGUUUGUAGUGUAGACAACAUUGUUUUGUGUUGUAUUGAUGAACAUAUCGUUGUAUAGUGUUGGCAAGGUGUAUAUAUCAUAGUAUAGUGUUGGCAAGGUGUAUAUAUCAUAGUAUAGUGUUGAAAGGUGUAUAUAUCAUUGUAAUAGUAUUGUAAAGGUGUAUAUAGCUGUGUACUGCGUUAUAGUGUAUACAACAUUGUUUUGUGUUGUAUUGAUGAACAUAUCGUUGUAUAGUGUUGGCAAGGUGUAUAUAUCAUAGUAUAGUGUUGAACGGUG